GACAGAGGGUGCGAACGUUGUUCGGAAUUACUGGGCGUAAAGGGCUCGUAGGCGGCCAACUAAGUCAGACGUGAAAUCCCCAGGCUCAACCUGGGAACUGCGUCUGAUACUGGAUGGCUUGAAUCCGGGAGAGGGAUGCAGAAUUCCAGGUGUAGCGGUGAAAUGCGUAGAUAUCUGGAGGAAUACCGGUGGCGAAGGCGGCAUCCUGGACCGGCAUUGACGCUGAGGAGCGAAAGCUAGGGGAGCAAACGGG
rnacentral:rRNA from 1 species